rnacentral:rRNA from 1 species
GACGAACGCUGGCGGCGUGCCUAAUACAUGCAAGUCGAACGCAGUGGGGACGGGUGAGUGACACGUGGGUAACCUCCCGUCAGAGGGGAUAACACUUGGAAACAGGUGCUAAACCGGUACUGGUGGAUGGACCCGCGGGGCAUUAGCUAGUUGGUGGGGUAACGGCUCACCAAGGCCACGAUGCAUAGCGGACCUGAGAGGUUGAUCGGCCACACUGGGACGUAGACACGGCCCAGACUCCUACGGGAGGCAGCAGUAGGGAAGCUUCGGAAAUGGACGAAAGUCUGACCGAGCAACGCCGCGUGAGUGAAGAAGGGUUUCGGAUCGUAAAACUCUGUUGUUAGAGAAGCGGUAUCUACCCAGAAAGCCACGGCUAACUACGUGCCAGCAGCCGCGGUAAUUC